rnacentral:lncRNA from 1 species
CAAACAUUCACUGAGUGCCCCUGUGUGCCACGCACUGUUCGAGCACUACGGACACAACAGACAAAAGUCCCUUUUCUCAUGGAUCUGGCAUUCUGGCUCAUGAAAUAUUGGAUAAAUGGAUGUGGACAUGAAGGUGGAGAUCCAUGGAUAUGGAUGGAUAAAUGGAGACUUGGAUGUAUGGCUUUCAGCUGCAGACCUGCCUCUCACCAGCAGUGUGACUGCAGCUCGCCAUUCUCCUCUCUGAGCUCGGGGAUGACCAGAAGAACACCACCUGCAGGCUGACGGUCAGGAUGAAGUAAAAGAACCCACUAGAAAAACACUCUCCCAAUGGCAGGGAUUCAUAACUUAACCUGUCAAAGUGCUGGACAAAUCCGAGGAGGAGUGGCGCAGCCCCCUCCGCUGCCCCGCUGCGUCCUCCCCGGCCCCCCGGCUCCCAGGAUGGCCUGUCAGGAACGGAGCGUCCACCAGGCAGAGGCAGCGUGCCCUCGCACAGAACGGUCUCUGCAGCGGAGGAGGAGCCUGCAGCGUUCCUCCACAGACAGCACCUUCCCCCGCCCCAUCUUGGGCUCAGAGGACACACAGCCCUUGUAGGCCUGCGAGUGGAUGCUGACCGACUCCGCGUUUCAUCUCAGAAAGGCGAGAUGGAAAGCACAGCCCUAUCAUCUGAGGCUCACCAACGCUUGCCGAACGGAUGGAUAAGAGAUCAGAUGCAGCCGCCACGUCAUGGACCACUGAGCUAUUGCAAGCAGAAGGGAGCGCCACGGUUCACACCUGCGGGCCUGCGUUCACCGCCUUAUCUCAGUUCACAGCAAACAUCAGCGAUCACCUACCUUGUCUCAGAGCUCACAUCUGAGGGCACAGGAGGGCCUAUGGGGCAGCGAGGCCAAAUAUCUAUAAUUUGACUUCGUUGUGAACUUUCCCACUCCUACCUUCUAUCUGAGGAGUGAUUAUGCUGGAAGGUAACCAGUUAUGCAGUCAGUAGUUGUAAAAUAAAAAUGAAAUUGGCUCUCUGUAUUUAGUUUCCAAAAUUAUGUUAAUCAGAAUGAUCUCAUUUAAGCUUCACAACAACCUUGGGAGGUAGGUAUGAUCAUCACCCCAUUUUACUAUUGAGCAAACUGAGGCUCUGAGAGGAUAAUCAACUUCUCUGGUACCUGGCAGAGCGGGACUUGAAGCCAGGUCCGGAGCCCAGCCGACGGGACAGGCCUGGGAAGCACGGAG